rnacentral:rRNA from 1 species
AUUCGUAGGGAGCGAGCGUUGUCCGGAAUUACUGGGCGUAAAGGGCGCGUAGGCGGCGCUUCAAGUCGUCUGUCAAAUGGGAGGGCUUAACCCUUUUUCGCAGACGAAACUGGAGAGCUUGAGAAGCAGAGAGGCAAACAGAAUUCCUGGUGUAGCGGUGAAAUGCGUAGAUAUCAGGAAGAAUACCAGUGGCGAAGGCGGUUUGCUGGCUGCAUACUGACGCUGAAGCGCGAAAGCCAGGGGAGCAAACGGGAUUAGAUACCCCGGUAGUCCUGGCAGUAAACGAUGUAUGCUGGGUGUGAGACUAGCGAUAGUUUCGUGCCGAAGUUAACGCGAUAAGCAUACCGCCUGGGGAGUACGGCCGCAAGGUUGAAACUCAAAUGAAUUGGCGGGG